UGGGGAAUUUUGGACAAUGGGCGCAAGCCUGAUCCAGCCAUGCCGCGUGCGGGAAGAAGGCCUUCGGGUUGUAAACCGCUUUUGUCAGGGAAGAAAUCUUCUGAGUUAAUACCUCGGGAGGAUGACGGUACCUGAAGAAUAAGCACCGGCUAACUACGUGCCAGCAGCCGCGGUAAUACGUAGGGUGCAAGCGUUAAUCGGAAUUACUGGGCGUAAAGCGUGCGCAGGCGGUUUUGUAAGACAGAGGUGAAAUCCCCGGGCUCAACCUGGGAACUGCCUUUGUGACUGCAAGGCUUGAGUGCGGCAGAGGGGGAUGGAAUUCCGCGUGUAGCAGUGAAAUGCGUAGAUAUGCGGAGGAACACCGAUGGCGAAGGCAAUCCCCUGGGGCCUGCACUGACGCUCAUGCACGAAAGCGUGGGGAGCAAACAGGAUUAGAUACCCUGGUAGUCCACGCCCUAAACGAUGUCAACUGGUUGUUGGGAAGGUUCCUUCUCAGUAACGUAGCUAACGCGUGAAGUUGACCGCCUGGGGAGUACGGCCGCAAGGUUGAAACUCAAGUG
rnacentral:rRNA from 1 species